GACGGAAGGUGCAAGCGUUGCUCGGAAUCACUGGGCGUAAAGGGUGCGUAGGCGGCCGUGCAAGUCUGGCGUGAAAGCCCCGGGCUCAGCCCGGGAAGUGCGCUCGAAACUGCGCGGCUCGAGUGCCGGAGGGGAGAGUGGAAUUCCUGGUGUAGCGGUGAAAUGCGUAGAUAUCUGGAGGAAUACCGGUGGCGAAGGCGGCAUCCUGGACCAUAACUGACGCUGAGGCGCGAAAGCUAGGGGAGCAAACGGG
rnacentral:rRNA from 1 species